rnacentral:rRNA from 1 species
UACAUGGGGUGCAAACGUUGCUCGGAAUUAUUGGGCGUAAAGCGCGCGUAGGCGGUUACUCAAGUCGGAUGUGAAAGCCCUCGGCUUAACUGAGGAAGUGCACCCGAAACUGAGUAGCUAGAGUACUAAAGAGGGUCGCGGAAUUCCCGGUGUAGAGGUGAAAUUCGUAGAUAUCGGGAGGAACACCGGUGGCGAAGGCGGCGACCUGGGUAGAUACUGACGCUGAGGAGCGAAAGCGUGGGUAGCGAACAGG